ACAAACAAACCUAACAUCCUGAUCUUCUGUGUCAAGACGGGUGUUGUCUCGGGAAAAUAUUUAUUUUCCCUAAGGCAAGAAAGGUUGAGCAUACUGUCACCUGGCAACUCUGUCCUUGUGGACACAUACAGGAAGCCAUCUUUCCAGUCCCUCAUUCUCCCUGUCCUAGAUCCCCUGCUUUGUUUCUUUCUGGAUUUAGUAUUUUGUUUCCCCCUUUACUAUUUUAAUGCGUAUGUGUUGUGUGCAUGUGUGUAUAUGCAUGUUUCUUCCCGCUGUCCCGUAUGUGUACCUAUUGUGUCUAUACAGUGGAGGACCAAGGUGGACAUUGGGCAUCAUCAAUGUUUCUCUUUCCAUCUUACUCAUUGAGGGAGGGUCUUUCAGUCAAACCCAGAGCUUGUCCAUAUAAAAGAUCUCUCUCUAGACAGUUUGCUUUGGGGAUCCCCUGUCACUGCUUUUCCAAAGCUGGAAUUACAGGCCACUGCCAUGCCCAACUGACAUUUGUGUAGUUUCUGGACAUCUGAACUACUCUAGUCUGUACAUGUGUGCACUGAGUGAUUUAAGCACUCAGGCCGCUUCCCCAGUCCCUAGAUUACUAUUUUAAGACAAAACUUGAUUAUGCAACAAAUAGUCCCAGCUGCAGUGUAGGAAGCUAUUGGGUGCAAAAAGGGAAGCCAUCCCUGAAUUGUGCUAGACACCUUAAAAUUGGCAAUUGAGUGAGAAGAUCUAGGAGAAAGAGGAUGAGAAUAUCGGAGCCUGAGAGGUGGUUCAGUUGGUAAAGUUCUUGGCUUGCAAGCACUGGGACCCAAGUUUGAUGUCAGGAACCCAUGUUUUUCUUUAAGGUAGCUAUGGCGGGGAUGUGGAGACAGGUGGAUUCCUGGUGUUGUAGAACAAGGUCCUUCUGAACAAAACAACCACCAUCUUGAUGGAAGAAGCAACAGUGUCUGCUUCUAAGAGAGUCCAGCCUGUUGACCCUUGACAUCCACUCACAAGAGGAGAGGUAGGGAGGGUAAAGAGACCCUCAUCGGAGAUUCCUGCUACUCCUCACAGACACUUAAAUACAACUCUGCCAUAAUUACGUGUGACCUUGGAAACUUGGGAUCUUGCAGGUGCUGGAAUAUAUACCCCAGGGGAGGUUAAUUGAAGGGGCUCUCUGUUGUUUAGUUUUUGUAAACAUGGCAUCACUAGAGUUGCCUGGGAAGAGGCAGCCUCAAAUCGAGGAAUUGCUUCCAUCAGAUUAUCCUUUGGGCAAGUAUGUAGGGCAUUUUUUUUUAUUAAUGAUUGAUGUGGGAGGACCCCACACACUGCGGGGGGUGCCAUGCCUGGGCAUGUGGUCCUGGAUUGUGUGAAAAUCACAUUGAGCAUGACAGGGAAACAAUCCAGUAAGCAGCAUUCCUCUGUGCCUCUACCUCCGUCCCUGCCUCCAGGUUGCUGUCUGACUUUCCUCACCAAUGGACUGUUAUCCAGAAAUAUAAAGAAAUAAACCUUUUCCUCUUCACCUCGUUUUUUGUCGUGGUAUUUUAUCACAGCUGCAGGAAGCAAAAUAGAACAGGAAGCCAUCAUCUAUGCUGGGUGAAGAUUGCCCAGUGCAACUGCUGGGGGGUCCCUUAUGCUCCUUUAGGAAACCCCUCACCCAUACUCUGCAAGCAAGUUCAAUAAAUAAGCUAAUUUGCUUCCCAGGAUGAAUGCUGGUAGUGUUAUACUUUAGUUCAUGGUUGGGACCUUAAGAGGAAGGUUUGGGCAUUGCUUACAUCUCAAUGGGGAAAGAAUUCUCAACAACACUCGACCAUCAUUGGCCAUCAGUUGGCCUACUCUGUAAGAUCCAGGCCAGUGAUAUCUCAGGCACAAGGCUCCUGAGAAGUAAUAGCUGAUGUCAUCUUCUGGCUUCUACAUGCAUUCACACACACACACACACACACACACAUGCAUGAACACACACACACACACACAUUCGUGCACAUAUACAUGCUUGCAUGCGCACAGGCACAGACCGUUACGCCUCCUCUCUGAGACACUUGAGAUUAGUAGAGACCCCUCCCCCAACUUGAGUUCUGCUGCAGUCUGUGUGCUUUGCUUAUUUAUAUCGUUCGGAAUUUGGCUCAGUAGUUCAUUUACAAAGUAGCCUCUGAAAUAGUUUUCUAAUAUUAUCCGCCUCCGCCCUUCAUCCAUCUUCCACUGUGGGAUUCUUUGGGGGAGUACAGGGUGUGCUUCCCACCAGCUCCUGCUGGCCUGGAUACAGACUGUCCUGUCCCUAGUGACCCUGCAAAAUGAUGGAUGACUGUGCUUCCCGUGGAGGGUCAGAUCGCUUUACACAUUGACAUAUCCAUCGCCUUGGACACAUCACGAGGUUCCCUAGCCAAAAGUAUCUCAUAAGAAACGGGGCCAGUGAGGACAGUGAUGUCAUUGGAGAGAGAAAUCAAUAGCAAAUAAACAGUCUGGAAAUUGUCACUGGAGAACAAGUGCCAGACUGGGAAACACCAUGAGUAGGAACAGCACAGACAGCUAAAGAAGUAUGGGUUUGAAUCUGAAAUGCCUAAUGGACUCAUGAUGUUUCAGGUCUCAUUCUCUGGAUGGUGGUGGUGUUCUGAAGGCUGUGGCACCUUCAGGAAGCGGAGGCUGGCUGGAGGAAGUAGGUAACUGGAGUGGGCCCAUGAUUAUACCUGGCCCUGGUUCAUGCCAUGAUCAUCCUGACUGACCUUGGUGUCCGUAAGCACCUGCUUCAUAUUCCUGCCAGCAUGCACGGGAACACUCCACGUUUGUUCUCCCACCUUGAUGGAACGAGGCCCCUGAAACCAUGAUCCAAGACCAAUCCGCCCUCUCUCUCGUGGUUUCUGUUGUGUGUUUUGUCACAGCAGCAAGAAGAGGAGUUGGGAAAGUGUCUCUGUAGAGUGCUGGUGUUGCAAGCAGGAGGACCUGAGUGUGGAUUCCCGGAACCCACACGAGAAUCAGAAUGUUGUGCAUGUGCUUAUACUCCCAGGGAUGGGGAAAUAGGAUACGAGGCAGGCAGGUCCUUGGGAGCUCCUUGGCUAAGUAGCACAGCUGACUUGGUGAGACCCCGGGCUAAUGACGAGCCCUGCUUCAAACAAAAAGUGGAAGGAAGAUGCCUGAGAAAAGACACCUGAGGUUGUCCUCCGGCCCCCACAUUUUCAGUCGUGCAUGUCCAUCGUUGUGAUAAAACACCCUGACUAAAAACAACUUUGGAGAGGAAAGAAUUGAUUUGCUUUAUACUUCUGGGCCACAAACAAACAAACAAAAACCGGCCAGGCAUCGACUUCAGUUUAACCAACCAACCAAGCAAGAAACCCAUCAACUAACUAUCCAUCCAAGUAACGAGGGAAUGUAGAAACUUUCCUUUUCAGAGUGCCUCCUAGGCAGGGACUUUGCCUACUUGGAGUGUCUUCUCCCAACCCAUAUCUGUAGCCAGUGUGGCUCUCAUAAAUGAUUUAUUUCUUCUUUCCAAAACCUCAUUGUAAAACCUCUUAACCUAUUACUGGUAGUGGUAACCAUGUAUUUCCAAUUAUCGUCUGGCUUUGCUGGUGGUGCCAUAGGGAGUUCGUUUUGCCUUUUGGCUUGCAUCUGUAACAGCUCAAUAAAUCCUUUGCUCUAGAAA